rnacentral:rRNA from 2 species
CAGUCGAGCGGAACGAGUUAUCUGAACCUUCGGGGAACGAUAACGGCGUCGAGCGGCGGACGGGUGAGUAAUGCCUAGGAAAUUGCCCUGAUGUGGGGGAUAACCAUUGGAAACGAUGGCUAAUACCGCAUAAUGCCUACGGGCCAAAGAGGGGGACCUUCGGGCCUCUCGCGUCAGGAUAUGCCUAGGUGGGAUUAGCUAGUUGGUGAGGUAAGGGCUCACCAAGGCGACGAUCCCUAGCUGGUCUGAGAGGAUGAUCAGCCACACUGGAACUGAGACACGGUCCAGACUCCUACGGGAGGCAGCAGUGGGGAAUAUUGCACAAUGGGCGCAAGCCUGAUGCAGCCAUGCCGCGUGUGUGAAGAAGGCCUUCGGGUUGUAAAGCACUUUCAGUCGUGAGGAAGGUAGUGUAGUUAAUAGCUGCAUUAUUUGACGUUAGCGACAGAAGAAGCACCGGCUAACUCCGUGCCAGCAG